rnacentral:lncRNA from 1 species
GGCACACAUUACAAUAAACAUUUUUAUGGUCCCCAACAUUAGGCAUAUAAAUCCUACCUGUCUUCACACACUUACACACUAAAACUCCCACAGAAAGGGGGAAAAUUAGAAAAGGGGUGAUAUAAUUUGACUCUGUGUCACCACCCAAAUCUCAUCUUGAAUUGUAAUCCCCGUAAUUUCUCACCUGGCAAGAGUGGGACCAGGUGGAGACAAUUGGAUCAUGGGGGCAGUUUUCCCCAUGCUCUUCUCGUGAUAAUGAUUGAGUCUCAUGGGAUCUGAUGAUUCUAUAAGUGUCUGGCUUUUCUCCUACUUGCACUCACUCCAUCCUGCCACCCUGCGAGGAAGGUGCCUGCUUCUUCUUUGCCUUCCGCCGUGAGUGUGAGUCUCCUGAGGCCUCCCCAGCAAUGUGGAACUGAUACGUCAUGGAACAGAGGGCAACCUGCCUCCUGGAAAUGUGGAGUGUCUAGGGAGUCACAGCUGAGAUCUUCCUUGGAUUAAAGGCUGCGGGUGUCACAAACAGGACGUGAGUCUUCACAACCUGCUAAAAAUGAACUUUCAGGACCUACCCAUCUAGGAAUAAGCCAUCCUAGCCAUGAGCGAUCAGAGACCAGAGACUCAUUUUUUUGUAAAAUGCUUUCUCCAAAAGACUUUUAAAAAGAAAAGGGGGGAAAUGUGAAAAGAAAAUAUUUUGGGCCCUCAAAAUCCCUAAGGAAAACUCAAGCUAGAAACUGCUUAAGGCAAUCCUGACUCCUAUUCUAUUCAAAGUUAACCCUCUCCUCACUGAGAUGGAUGCAUAUCUGAUUGCCUCCAUUGGAAAGGCUAAUCAGAAACUCAAAAGAAUGUCUCACCUAUCUGCCACCUGGAAGCUCCCUCCUGUUUCCAGUUUUCCUGACUUUACUUCAAGUUUUCCCACCUUUCCAGACUGCACCAAUGUACUUCUUACAUAUUAAUUGAUGUCUCAUGUUUCCCUUAAAAUGUAUAAAACCAAGCUGUGCCCUGACCACCUUGCGCACAUGUUGUCAGGACAUCCUGAGGUUGUGUCACAGGUUCAUCCUCAACCUUGGCAAAAUAAACUUUCUAAAUUAACUGAGACCUGUCUCAGA